AAGAUGAUGCUCAGCACGAGGGGAAGGAAGAUCCUGCUGCCAGGUAGAUGGCAUGGACACUGAUCCCGACAGGGCCGGCUGCUGAGAGCUAGGUUUCCUUUGGAUGCUCCUGAGCCUGAUCUGCCAUAGGGGAUGCCCCAAUUCACUUUUGCUUGCUUCUGUGGGCUCCACGGCUUCUGCAAGAUGAAGAGGAAAAAAGAAGAGCCCAGUGCAGAGCAGGAGACGUCAGUGUGAGACUUGUCCGGGUGUGUCACAUUUAUCCUCUCACUCACAUCGCUGGAUUCCAGCCCUGGUUUGAACUUGAGACUUGCCUGGCUUGGAAAAAAGCUGAAGCUCAGAAACGACCCUUAUAGAAGAGCCACAAACAGUAUCCUGGGUGCUAUGGUGGUUCAGCACAGAUCCCCAGUCUCAAAGGUGCUUGAUCUUGGACCGCACAGCUAUCUGUGGCAGAGAGAGAUUUUUGUCCCUUUACUGGGUAAAAGUUUCAUUCACAAGAAAGCUGUCCCUGUCUUGCUUGAAUAUGUCCCCCUGGACAGACUCUGAAGGAGAUUUCCAAAUCAAGAGCCAGGUCCUGCCCUCAGUUUCCCUGGAGUAAGUGGGCAGCAGGAUUUGGCUCUGUGUUUUUAAGUUGUCUCACUGUGGCACUGUCAACUGAAAAUGAACAAGCUGUAGAGUUUUGUUAGUAUCUCCCAAGCAAAUGUCCUGUGUCUACAAGAAGCAGUUCCUAAUACUUCUUAGACAUUUUGUGCUCAGAUGUGCUAGAUGCCAGCAUGGAGAAACCCUUAGGGAGUGGUGAAAACACACUGGGCUUUGAUUCUGCUCCCAUCGAUGCAAAUCAGGAGUCGCUCCACUGAAAUCAAUGGUGUUAGCCCAGUGGGAGAGCAGACUCAUGCUCCUUAUGUGUCUAUAUUAACUAUGGGAAGUGAAUUUUGCAGUUGGCCCCUUUCCUAUAAUGGGCAUGAAUCAAAAUCCCUGAACUCUAUGUGAAGAGAAGUUUGGAGCUGGGACCCGGAUUUCAGCUUUGGAGCUCAGGUCUCUCUCUAGCAUGUAUGCAUCCUCCAGUGGUUCUCCACCUUUCCUGUAAUGGGUGCCCUCUUCCAAUCUAGCUAUUUAGCAAUCUGCGAAAGGCAAUAUGACCACGACUCUCUGACACCUGUUCAUGUACAUGCGGUGGGUCGCAACCCCCAGGAUAAGAGCCCAUGUUCUCAAAGAAAUUGAUGUAGUUGAGAGUAUGGAAAAUGCCAGUGUUCAAAUUGUUAACUUUUUUUGCUGGAACUGCCUCACCUUAUCCAGGCAUAGCCAUUAGCAUUAGUGUAGUGCUGCAGUUUCAAAGGUUGUCCCUGUUUUCUCCCUUCUUGUCUAUACGUCUUUCCUACCUGCUGUUAAAGCCAUAUGGAAAUUCCCUGGGUGCUGUGCCUUUCAGGAGGUGUUGCAGACAGACUCUCCUCUUCAGGUACCCUAAAAUAGCCCCACUAGUUGUCACUGUGGAUCCCAGAAAGUACAUCUAUUUCAUGGCCUGAUCCAAAGAACAUUGAGGUCAGUAGAAACUCUCUUUUUGAUUUCAGUGGGUUUGGAUCAGGACCUCACUCAGGAAGGUCUUCUUGUGGUAGUGUUGGAGAUGGGCUUGAACCCAACCUUCAGCUCUGAACACCCCCCGCCUUAUGGCACUGGAAAUCCAAAUCCAACUUUAGCCCCUCAGACCGAGCUCUGGUUAAUUCAGACAGCCUCAACCCUUUCAAUCCUGAAUCCUUUGCUGCCAUCUCCAAAAUGUUCAGCUCCUGAGGCUACUAGAGUUGUGCUCUUUCGAUGAGGAUGGUCACACAGUAUUUGUAGCCCUUUCAGUCAGAAUAAACUGCAGCUGCGGCGGCUUUUGAGAACUGGUAGCAAGGCCUGAGCUGGGUGCAUGACAGAGUCAGAAAGACUAGGGCUGUCAACAUGACAGGCUGAGAUGGUAGCCAUGGAGAUCUGAGUAUCAAAGGGGUAGCUGUGUUAGUCUGGAUCUGUAAAAGCAGCAAAGAAUCCUGUGGCACCUUAU